rnacentral:rRNA from 1 species
AGCGUAGACGGAGUGGCGAGUCUGAUGUGAAAACCCGGGGCUCGACCCCGGGACUGCAUUGGAAACUGUCAAUCUGGAGUACCGGAGAGGUAAGCGGAAUUCCUAGUGUAGCGGUGAAAUGCGUAGAUAUUAGGAGGAACACCAGUGGCGAAGGCGGCUUACUGGACGGUAACUGACGUUGAGGCUCGAAAGCGUGGGGAGCAAACA